rnacentral:rRNA from 1 species
UACGGAGGGGGCUAGCGUUGUUCGGAAUUACUGGGCGUAAAGCGCACGUAGGCGGACCGGAAAGUUGGGGGUGAAAUCCCGGGGCUCAACCUCGGAACUGCCUUCAAAACUACUGGUCUUGAGUUCGAGAGAGGUGAGUGGAAUUCCGAGUGUAGAGGUGAAAUUCGUAGAUAUUCGGAGGAACACCAGUGGCGAAGGCGGCUCACUGGCUCGAUACUGACGCUGAGGUGCGAAAGCGUGGGGAGCAAACAGG